GUGAACUUUACACUCUAUAUUCUUAUGUCUUCUGUUAUUUAAAUCAGAUUCAUUAUACCAAUGAAAUAUAGGCCUAAUACUUGACAAAACAUAACUUAGUAUGUUGCUUCAGUAUUAACAGUCCAGCAGCUUUACCAGCCACAGAAAACAUUGAGCAAUUAAAUACUCCACGUCACAUCUUUAUAUUUGUUCUAGUUGAGUUGUCAAACAGUUUUAGUUUAUUGAAGCUCUACAACAGUCGGCUAAUUGCACUGUUCAGCACUAAAUGCUAAUUUUUAUUAGCUCUAGGCUCAUUCACUUGAGCUAGCCAGCUUAACCUAGCAUCGUGUGGCGCAGCAUUUAAUUGUUUACUUUUACUACGACUCACCAAUUCGGGAGUUCCUCUGUGUCACUCGGAAGGUUUCAGUGAGCAGUCUCUCACACACACACCUCUACGAGCUUACAACAAAGUACAGGCUGUUACUGUUCUGUUUUAACAACAUUAUAAGGUGUUUUUACUGUUUUAUCUGAGUUAUAUUUUUACCGUUCAGUUGCAGGUCCUCUCAACAGUGUCACCCAGCGUCUGACUAGCAUACGCUGUGUAGCUUGCCUACGGUGCUGUGGACCUGCACUCUGAUUGGCUGAGGCACUUCUGCGUUGUUAACCCUUUGUGACCCGGGUUACAAGUAGCUACAUCCAAUCAUGAUGGAGAGAAAACACUUUUCUCAGGGGACUGGGUUGGUGACAAGCGGACGAGGAAGAAACCCAGUUGCUAUACCCGGACCAGAGGGAGGGGAGGCUGAAUGUCACCUUCAAAUCUAGCCGACGGAUUGAUUCAGGGCCUUCAGGGAGCAGCGGGAAAUACCUUGGCCUGACAGGAGACACUAAACUAAACAACCAGCGUUCCCCUGAGAGGGUGUUAAAGUGCAGCACACUAUGAAUUAUGGACCCCGGGCAAUUUCUUUUUACAUCAUACUUUGUUUUAUGUGGUAGAAAAUGUGUUUAUGUUAGAAAUUUACAUUUCAAUAAACAACGCACUUAACCUUA